AGCAGCCGCGGUAAUUCCAGCUCCAAUAGCGUAUAUUAAAGUUGUUGCAGUUAAAAAGCUCGUAGUUGAAUUUCGGGAUCAUCAGGUUGGUCGUGCCUCUGGUAUGUACUGAUUUCGAUGGUCCCUCCUUCUUGAAGAGCCGUAAUGCCAUUAAUUUGGUGUUGCGGGGAAUCAGGACUGUUACUUUGAAAAAAUUAGAGUGUUUAAAGCAGGCAAUCGCUUGAAUACAUUAGCAUGGAAUAAUGAAAUAGGACGUUCGAUCCUAUUUUGUUGGUUUCUAGGAUUGACGUAAUGAUUAAUAGGGAUAGUUGGGGGCAUUAGUGUUCAAUUGUCAGAGGUGAAAUUCUUGGAUUUAUUGAAGACUAACUACUGCGAAAGCAUUUGCCAAGGAUGUUUUCAUUAAUCAAGAACGAAAGUUAGGGGAUCGAAGACGAUCAGAUACCGUCGUAGUCUUAACCAUAAACUAUGCCGACUAGGGAUCGG
rnacentral:rRNA from 1 species